CCUACGGGAGACAGCAGUGAGGAAUAGUGGUCAAUGGACGAGAGUCUGAACCAGCCAAGUAGCGUGAAGGAUGACGGCCCUAUGGGUUGUAAACUUCUUUUAUAAAGGAAUAAAACGAGGCACGUGUGCCUUUUUGCAUGGACGUUAUGAAUAAGGAUCGGCUCACUCCGUGCCAGCAGCCGCGGUAAUACGGAGGAUCCGAGCGUUAUCCGGAUUUAUUGGGUGUAAAGGGAGCGUAGAGGGGUUGUUAAGUCAGUUGUGAAAGUUUGCGGCUCAACCGUAAAAUUGCAAUUGAUACGGGCAGUCUUGCGUACAGUUGAGGUAGGCGGAAUUCGUGGUGUAGCGGU
rnacentral:rRNA from 1 species